GAUCACUUUGGAAAAAUUACAGAAAAAUCCACCAAAACCUAGAAAUUUAACCCCAGUCCCUCACAGUACGUGCAAUGCGCAGAACGACACCUUCAUGCGCGAAAUCGCACGAUUUGGCACAUAAAAUGUUGGGCGAUUUUCUGAAAUUCGACUUUUUCCAAUUUGACGUUCCUUGGUUUUCGCGCAAUUGCGGUAAAUCCGUCCAUCAGAUUUAUGAACGGACUGCGCCGGUGCAUUCAGCACUGCAGGACCUUCAAGAUCACGUUUUUGUUUCGCGUGAUUUAGUCACAAAUUAGCAUCAAACCACGCCACGUCCUC
rnacentral:lncRNA from 1 species